CCUACGGGAGGCAGCAGUGGGGAAUUUUGGACAAUGGGCGCAAGCCUGAUCCAGCAAUGCCGCGUGCAGGAUGAAGGCCUUCGGGUUGUAAACUGCUUUUGUACGGAACGAAACGGCUCUUUCUAAUAAAGAGAGCUAAUGACGGUACCGUAAGAAUAAGCACCGGCUAACUACGUGCCAGCAGCCGCGGUAAUACGUAGGGUGCGAGCGUUAAUCGGAAUUACUGGGCGUAAAGCGUGCGCAGGCGGUUAUAUAAGACAGAUGUGAAAUCCCCGGGCUCAACCUGGGACCUGCAUUUGUGACUGUAUAGCUAGAGUACGGUAGAGGGGGAUGGAAUUCCGCGUGUAGCAGUGAAAUGCGUAGAUAUGCGGAGGAACACCGAUGGCGAAGGCAAUCCCCUGGACCUGUACUGACGCUCAUGCACGAAAGCGUGGGGAGCAAACAGGAUUAGAUACCCUGGUAGUCCACGCCCUAAACGAUGUCAACUGGUUGUUGGGUCUUCACUGACUCAGUAACGAAGCUAACGCGUGAAGUUGACCGCCUGGGGAGUACGGCCGCAAGGUUGAAACUCAAAUGAAUUGACCGGNGUGAGAGNGCGAGGCGACACGAGGGAGGAGG
rnacentral:rRNA from 1 species